CUGAUGUUGGGAUAUGUGUAGGAGUAUGCAGGUGAUGGCUUGCGGACACUUGCAGUGGCCUAUCGGGAUCUGUCUGAGGAGCAGUGGGAGGCGUGGGCAGAGCGUUUCCGCGGCGCUGAUAAGGCCACAGACUGCAGAGACGACCGGCUGGCUGCAGCCUAUGAAGAGAUCGAACAGGACAUGAUGCUGUUGGGGGCCACAGCUAUAGAAGAUAAAUUGCAAGAGGGGGUUCCUGAGACCAUUGCCAUUCUCUCACUGGCUAACAUCAAGAUCUGGGUGCUUACUGGAGACAAACAGGGUAAGAACUGCAUCAAAAUCAAAAGUCAUGCUGCUUGGCCACAACUGUUAUCAUUGACUUAACACAACUACAACUUUAAAGUGUAUUUUUCUCCUUCUGUGACAGAGACUGCAGUGAAUAUUGGUUAUUCCUGUAAGAUGCUGACAGAUAACAUGACAGAGAUCUUCAUUGUUAAUGGACACACUGUCCAAAGCGUACGUGAAGAGCUGAGGAAAGCAAGAGAGCGAAUGCUGGAGUCGGCACGCACCAGAGAUGGAGGGAAGGAAGUUGAAGCUCAGGGAUGGGGUGGUGCUUGUGCCUUUGGAAAUGGAUGUGGAGGUGGUGGUGCUGCUAACUGGAUCCCUGAUGAGAGUAAAUGUUCGCCUCCUCAGGCGCCGCCCUCCUCCUCAUUGGAGUCAAUCAGUGGAGAGUUCGCCCUCAUCAUCAGCGGACACAGCUUGGUAGGUGGGAGAAGCAUUCAGGAGCCUAACUGGAAGGAAUU
rnacentral:lncRNA from 1 species